rnacentral:rRNA from 1 species
UACGGAGGGUGCAAGCGUUAAUCGGAAUUACUGGGCGUAAAGCGUGCGUAGGCGGUUCGUUAAGUCUGUUGUGAAAGCCCCGGGCUCAACCUGGGAAUGGCAAUGGAUACUGGCGAGCUAGAGUGUGUCAGAGGAUGGUGGAAUUCCCGGUGUAGCGGUGAAAUGCGUAGAGAUCGGGAGGAACAUCAGUGGCGAAGGCGGCCAUCUGGGGCAACACUGACGCUGAGGCACGAAAGCGUGGGGAGCAAACAGG